GAUUCCCUUUUUAGUCCUCCUCCAUCAAAGAAAAUGAAGUUAUUUGGAUUUAAAGAAGACCCAUUUGUAUUUAUUCCUGAAGAUGACCCAUUAUUUCCACCUAUUGAGAAAUUUUAUGCUUUGGAUCCUUCAUUCCCAAGGAUGAAUUUGUUAACUCGGACUACAGAAGGGAAGAAAAGGCAGCUCUACAUGGUUUCUAAGGAGUUGCGGAAUGUGCUGCUGAAUAACAGCGAGAAGAUGAAGGUACCAGCCGCACAGACGCUGAGUGCUGUGUGAUGCGGGAUGCGUGUGGCUUUUCACAGCGGCUUAGAUUUCAUUUGGAGCAGACCGUGACAUCUGCCCUCCCCACCUGUAGCGUUGGCUGUGGGUCCCUGAGCCUGCCCUUUGAUUUCAGAGCUGUUGACUGACACAGGGCUGAAUGGUUCCUGCCAGAGUCCUGAAUCUGGUGGCCUGUGUCUUUUCUGUGCCCCAUUCCCGCAGGGGGGUGAGCCAUGGUGUAGUUCUCAAAGCUCGCCCUCCUGGGCAGGGAAGGUACUAAAGGUGUAGAGGCUGCGAGUACUGCUGCCCCGACCCUUGGGAUUUGUCCUUUGAGGUACUUCCCUUAGAAUUUGGCCAUUUGGGGGCCCUUCUUUCAUUUGCUUUACUGUCCUCCAAACGACGUAAACACAAGUUGUGAGUAUCAGUUCGUUCUUACUGGGGUUUCUCGGUGGGUUU
rnacentral:sRNA from 1 species